rnacentral:rRNA from 1 species
AACGAACGCUGGCGGCGCGUCUUAAGCAUGCAAGUCGAACGGCAAGACAGUAGCUUGCUUCUCUCCUAGAUUGGCGGUCUUGUGCGUUACACGUGUGUAUUCUACCCUUAUUUUUGGUAUAGCUUCUAGAAAUAUCAGUUAAUACCGUAUACACUCUGCAUAUCACAAGAGGUGUUGAGUAAUUGAAGCUUCGCCUUCUCUUUAGCAUGAGCUUGCGUCCCCUUAGCUAGUUGGUGAGGUAAAGGCCCACCAAGGCGACGAUGGGUAUCCGGCCUGAGUGGGUGAACGGACACAUUGGGACUGAGAUACGGACCAAACUACUACGGGAGGAAGCAGAGAAGAAUAUUACGAAAUGGACGGAAGUCUGACGGAGCGAAGCCGCGUGGAUGAAGAAGGAUGAAAGGUUGUAAAAUCCUGUUGUUGAGGAAGAAAAAGGGUGAGAGGGAAUGCUCAUGUGAUGACGGUAAUCGAAGAAUAAGCACCGGCUAAUUACGUG